rnacentral:misc_RNA from 1 species
GAAAUGCGAUAAGUAAUGUGAAUUGCAGAAUUCAGUGAAUCAUCGAAUCUUUGAACGCACAUUGUGCCCGCCAGUAUUCUGGCGGGCAUGCCUGUUCGAGCGUCAUUUCAACCAUCAAGCCCCCCGGCUUGUGUUGGGGACCUGCGGCUGCCGCAGGCCCUGAAAAGCAGUGGCGGGCUCGCUGUCACACCGAGCGUAGUAGCAUACAUCUCGCUCUGGGCGUGCUGCGGGUUCCGGCCGUUAAACCACCUUCGUAACCCAAGGUUGACCUCGGAUCAGGUAGGAAGACCCGCUGAACUUAAGC